rnacentral:misc_RNA from 1 species
UACAGAGGGUGCGAGCGUUAAUCGGAGUUACUGGGCGUAAAGGGUGCGUAGGAGGUUGUGUAAGUUGGAUGUGAAAUACUCGGGCUUAACCUGGGGGCUGCAUUCAAUACUGCACAACUAGAGUAAGGUAGAGGGAAGUGGAAUUUCCGGUGUAGCGGUGAAAUGCGUAGAUAUCGGAAGGAACACCAGUGGCGAAGGCGGCUUCCUGGACCUAUACUGACUCUGAGGCACGAAAGCGUGGGGAGCAAACAGG